CUAGUAGGCAUAAAGCUCUCUCUCUCUCUCUCUCUCUCUCUCGUCAACCUUCACUUUUUCACUCUAUAUCUAUCUAUAGACACUAAAUGACUUACAAAACUUCAAGCUUGCUUUUAAAGUGAGAUUUUGAUGAGACUAUUGAUGAAGAAGUGAUAAGCUUGAGAAAAGCUUCUAAUUGAGACCAAUAUUGCAAGGGGUUUAGGGAAUUUCAAAAUUUGGAGCCUUAAGGGCUUGUUUGACUAGCACACUUUGAGGAUUUUAGGAGCUGCCGAAUGGAUGAGUCGCCUUCACAUACUAUUACGUAGUUAGAAAGUUUAAAAAAUGAAUUUCAUAUAACCAUACUCAAUGUAAUUGAAUUCAAUUUGAUGGAUAAAGAUGUAUUAAUCUCAUUAUGUUGUAUGAAUAUUAUCUUAUCAUUGUAAGCA